UGGGGAAUCUUGCGCAAUGGGCGAAAGCCUGACGCAGCAACGCCGCGUGCGGGAAGAAGGCCUUCGGGUUGUAAACCGCUCUCAGCAGGAACGAAAAUGACGGUACCUGCAGAAGAAGGUGCGGCCAACUACGUGCCAGCAGCCGCGGUGACACGUAGGCACCAAGCGUUGUCCGGAUUUAUUAGGCGUAAAGAGCUCGUAGGCGGUUCAGUAAGUCGGGUGUGAAAACUCUGGGCUUAACCCAGAGCCGCCACCCGAUACUGCUGUGACUAGAGUCCGGUAGGGGAGUGGGGAAUUCCUAGUGUAGCGGUGAAAUGCGCAGAUAUUAGGAGGAACACCGGUGGCGAAGGCGCCACUCUGGGCCGGAACUGACGCUGAGGAGCGAAAGCGUGGGUAGCAAACAGGGUUAGAUACCCUGGUAGUCCACGCCGUAAACGUUGGGCACUAGGUGUGGGCCUCAACCAACGAGGUCCGUGCCGUCGCUAACGCAUUAAGUGCCCCGCCUGGGGAGUACGGCCGCAAGGCUAA
rnacentral:rRNA from 1 species